AGAGAGAAGCUUGCUUCUCUGCUGACGAGCGGCGGACGGGUGAGUAAUGCCUAGGAAUCUGCCUGGUAGUGGGGGAUAACUUGCCGAAAGGUAAGCUAAUACCGCAUACGUCCUACGGGAGAAAGGAGGGGACCUUCGGGCCUUUCGCUAUUAGAUGAGCCUAGGUCGGAUUAGCUAGUUGGUGAGGUAAAGGCUCACCAAGGCGACGAUCCGUAACUGGUCUGAGAGGAUGAUCAGUCACACUGGAACUGAGACACGGUCCAGACUCC
rnacentral:rRNA from 1 species